rnacentral:rRNA from 1 species
GACGAACGCUGGCGGCGUGCUUAACACAUGCAAGUCGAGCGGUAAGGCCCUUUCGGGGGUACACGAGCGGCGAACGGGUGAGUAACACGUGGGUGACCUGCCCUCAGCUCUGGGAUAAGCCUGGGAAACCGGGUCUAAUACUGGAUAUGACUCCAUGACGCAUGUUGUGGGGUGGAAAGCCUUGUGCGGCUGAGGAUGGGCCCGCGGCCUAUCAGCUUGUUGGUGGGGUGAUGGCCUACCAAGGCGACGACGGGUAGCCGGCCUGAGAGGGCGACCGGCCACACUGGGACUGAGACACGGCCCAGACUCCUACGGGAGGCAGCAGUGGGGAAUAUUGCGCAAUGGACGAAAGUCUGACGCAGCAACGCCGCGUGGGUGAGGAAGGACUUCGGUUUGUAAAGCCCUGUAAAUGUGGAAAAAGAGACGUGUGUCGAAUAGGCAUACGUAUUGAUGGUACACAUAGAGUAGGCACCGGCUAACUUCGUGCCAGCAGCCG